GAUGAACGCUAGCGGCAGGCCUAACACAUGCAAGUCGAGGGGUAGCAGGAUUAAGCUUGCUUAAUUGCUGACGACCGGCGCACGGGUGCGUAACGCGUAUGCAACCUACCUUAUACUGGGGUAUAGCCCGGAGAAAUUCGGAUUAAUCCCCCAUAGUACUAAUGAAUCGCAUGGUUUAUUAGUUAAAGCAUUGCGGUAUAAGAUGGGCAUGCGUCCUAUUAGCUAGAUGGUGAGGUAACGGCUCACCAUGGCUACGAUAGGUAGGGGGCCUGGGAGGGUGGUCCCCCACACUGGUACUGAGACACGGACCAGACUCCUGCGGGAGGCAGCAGUGAGGAAUAGUGGUCAAUGGGCGCAAGCCUGAACCAGCCAUGCCGCGUGCAGGAAGAAUGCCCUAUGGGUUGUAAACUGCUUUUAUUUGGGAAUAAACCGCUUUACGUGUAGAGAGCUGAAGGUACCAAAUGAAUAAGCACCGGCUAACUCCGUGCCAGCCGCCGCCGUAA
rnacentral:rRNA from 1 species